AGUGAACGCUGGCGGUAGGCCUAACACAUGCAAGUCGAACGGCAGCACAGUAAGAGCUUGCUCUUACGGGUGGCGAGUGGCGGACGGGUGAGGAAUACAUCGGAAUCUACUUUUUCGUGGGGGAUAACGUAGGGAAACUUACGCUAAUACCGCAUACGACCUACGGGUGAAAUCAGGGGAUCUUCGGCCCUUGCGCGAUUGAAUGAGCCGAUGUCGGAUUAGCUAGUUGGCGGGGUAAAGGCCCACCAAGGCGACGAUCCGUAGCUGGUCUGAGAGGAUGAUCAGCCACACUGGAACUGAGACACGGUCCAGACUCCUACGGGAGGCAGCAGUGGGGAAUAUUGGACAAUGGGCGCAAGCCUGAUCCAGCCAUACCGCGUGGGUGAAGAAGGCCUUCGGGUUGUAAAGCCCUUUUGUUUGGAAAGAAAAGCAGCAGGUUAAUACCCCGCUGUUCUGACGGUACCCAAAGAAUAAGCACCGGCUAACUUCGUG
rnacentral:rRNA from 1 species